AGCAGCCGCGGUAAUUCCAGCUCCAAUAGCGUAUAUUAAAGUUGUUGCAGUUAAAAAGCUCGUAGUUGAAUUUCGGGAUCAAUAUGUUGGUCGUGCCAUUGGUACGCACUGGCAUUAUUGGUUUCUACCUUCUGAAGAACCUCGAUGUCAUUAAUUUGGUGUCUUGGGGAAUCAGGACUGUUACUUUGAAAAAAUUAGAGUGUUUAAAGCAAGCUCGCGCUUGAAUACAUUAGCAUGGAAUAAUGAAAUAGGACGUUUGAUUCUAUUUUGUUGGUUUCUAGGAUUGACGUAAUGAUUAAUAGGGAUAGUUGGGGGCAUUAGUAUUCAAUUGUCAGAGGUGAAAUUCUUGGAUUUAUUGAAGACUAACUACUGCGAAAGCAUUUGCCAAGGAUGUUUUCAUUAAUCAAGAACGAAAGUUAGGGGAUCGAAGACGAUCAGAUACCGUCGUAGUCUUAACCAUAAACUAUGCCGACUAGGGAUCGGAUGAUGUUAAUUUUUUAAUGACUCAUUCGGCGCCUUACG
rnacentral:rRNA from 1 species